rnacentral:lncRNA from 1 species
GGUUUAUUAUGACUCACAUGCUACCUGUUGGACACCUUCCCCAGCUUACCCAUCUUUCCAUCCUAAUGCCAGGAUGUGCAGUGAAGUCUGGUGAAAAACUUCAAGCUUUCAUAGAAAUCCAGCAAUAUGGUUUUUCAGGAAGCAAAGUCCUGAAGACGAUACUGUGAUACAACAAUGUGAAUGAAUGAAUAAAAACAGUGCUCUCUUGGGCCGGGGAUUUAGGUCAGCGGUUCCACGACCUGCCUCGCAAGCGCAAGGACCUGAGUUCUAUCCCCAGUACCACAUAAAUGAAU